rfam:Oryza glumipatula chromosome 10, whole genome shotgun sequence.
CAUAAGAGUAGUUGUGGGUUUUAGUGUUUAACUUUGACAAUCCGUCUUAUUUAAAAUAUUUUUAUGAUUAGUAUUUUUGUUGUUAUUAGAUAAUAAAAUAUGAAUCUUAACUUUUAAAAUUUUUUCAUAAAUUUUUCAAAUAAGACGGACGGUCAAACGUUAGGCACGGAAACUUUAGCUGCACUUAUA